CCUACGGGUGGCAGCAGUGGGGAAUAUUGCGCAAUGGGCGAAAGCCUGACGCAGCGACGCCGCGUGAGGGAUGAAGGUCCUCGGAUCGUAAACCUCUGUCAGCAGGGAAGAACGGUCACUGUGCUAAUCAGCAGUGAAUUGACGGUACCUGCAAAGGAAGCACCGGCUAACUCCGUGCCAGCAGCCGCGGUAAUACGGAGGGUGCGAGCGUUAAUCGGAAUUACUGGGCGUAAAGCGCUCGUAGGCGGUAUGUCAAGUCAAGGGGGAAAUCCCCGGGCUCAACGUGGGAACUGCCUUUGAAACUGGCAAACUGGAGUGUGUGAGAGGAUAGUGGAAUUCCAGGGGUAGGAGUGAAAUCCGUAGAUAUCUGGAGGAACAUCAGUGGCGAAGGCGACUAUCUGGCACAUAACUGACGCUGAGGAGCGAAAGCGUGGGUAGCAAACAGGAUUAGAUACCCGGGUAGUC
rnacentral:rRNA from 1 species